CUAAUGACUCAUUUGUCUUUUCAAAACUACUGUUGUAUGGAAGUUUCUCAAUUAGGACAUUAUUUUUCACCAGUGAUUGUAUUCUGCUACCGUGAAGUUCUUAGUCCAGACACAUAUGUCUUAGAUGGUCCAAUUGAUGAGGCCUCUUAUGGUGAUGAUGAAGUCUCUUAUGGCUAUGGACACCUGAUAAGUACUCGGCCAAUGGAUCUUUUGAUAGUGGCGUAAAAUACUUUGUUUGUUUUGUUCUUCUAGCUACUUACUUAUCUUCUCUGCUUCCAUAUUUUUUUGUUAUCACACUAGUUUUUUUGGUUUGAUGGAUGUGUAGACCGUACGGUGACACUGUUAUGGACGUUCAAAUUUGGAAAUUUCAAAGGUUGGUUAACCAACAUGCGAUCCUCUGCCACCUUUUGGACUUUUUGGUGCUUGCACUGCAAUCUGGAUAUUGUCUGGGCUUCGAAAAGGGGGUUUUCGGUCUCGUCUAUGGCAUAUCUAGUCAUUAUUUGGGUGGUUUGGGGUUUGUCAGAUUUGCACUUAACUGUUCCCUUCUUUCUGUUCUUGCAGCCUUUGGCUACAGGGCAGUUAAUUGUUCUUUUCAUGAGGCGGCUGUGUUUGUUCAUUUGUGUUGAGGUUUCUUUAGUUAAGUCUUUUGUGAGUACUGCAAUUUUUAAUUUCAGUUUUCUUCCCGUAUGGCUCUCUUUUCUCCGUCAAAACUAUUGUUGCAUGAAAGACUGACAGUUUCUCAACUAAGAUAAUAUUUUUCACCAGUGUGUGUUGUGUUCUGCUGCCAUGAAGUUUUACCAUGGAUGUCAUUCUUAGCUGUCAAGAAUACAUGGAUGGGCAUCUAGGUGCAAGUCGUUCUACAGGAGUAAGUGUCUUGCUUUGGUGUUCGUCUCGGGAAGGAUGCAACAGUUCCCAGGUUUUUGACUAUAGGUAUUGGAUUUUUCAGUCUCUCGAAGUUUUGUCAUUACUGCUUAUGGAAGUUCUCAAUUAUGAUAUUUCUCUUCACUUGUGUGUGUAACGCUGCCAGUUUUAGUUCAUGGUUCAGAUGCUCAUGUUCUUUGAUAAUCCUGCUAUCUCUUGUGGUGUUAUGGGCACUGUAUAAGUAGUCAAAAGUCAAUUCUGGAUCUCUGAUAGUGCCGUAAAGUGCUCCUCUGGCUUUUGUGUCCUAGCUACUUAUUUUCUCUCUGCUUUCGUUUUCCCUUGGUUAUCACACCUGCUUGAUCUUGUUUAUUGGUGAAUGUAUGUGUAGACCACAUGGUGAUAUUAAUAGAGGAUUAGUUUUGGGAACUUCGAAUGCUUGUAUCCGCCUCCUUUCUGUGCUUGCAGUUGGGUCUAACCGAGCAGUGAACUAUCCUUUUCAUGGAGGGGCUUUGUUUGGACAUUUGUGUUGAUGUUCUUCUACUUCAGGUUUUAUGAGUACUGAGAUUCUCAUUUCAGUUUUCUUCCUCAAUCAGAGUGGUCCCUCCUCUCUUUGUCAAAAAUUGCCGUUAUAUGGUAGUUCCCAGCUAAAUUAGUUUUUCUUGCACUAGUGUGUGUUGUAUUCUGCUCUGCCAUUUUUAGUUUGUAGAUCGGAUGCUUGUGUUCUUCGAUGAUCCAAUUGAUGAGAUUACGAGAUUCCUGGUUGGUUGAUGGGUAUAUGGUCUUAUUGACACCUGAUAAGAAAUCAAAACUCAAUCCUAGAUCUCUUGACAGCCCCAUCAAGUGGGUCCGUUCUCUGCUUCCUGUUUGUUUCACCCCAGAUUGAUUUUAUUUGUUGGAUGGAUGACAGUAGAGGAUUAGAUUUGGAAAAUUUUGAAGGUUAAUGCCCAGUGUCCAUUCUUGUGCAACCUGUUUCUAUGCCAUUUUUGUGCUGGCACUACAAUCUGAAUAUUAUUAGGCGAGAUAGAGGGGUUUCUCAAUCUUGAUUCUUUGCCAGUUUUGUGGAUGCACCGCAAUAUGGAUAUUAUCAGGAUAUGAGAGGGGUUUUUCAAUCUUAUCUUGCAUUUUCUAGUGGGUUUCGUCAGCUUUGCAAGUAUUCUUUCCUUUAUUCCUUUGCUUGCAGCCAUUGGGUCUUACAGAGCAGUGGAUUCUUCUUUUCAUGGAGUGAUCUUGUUUGUCCAUAUGAGUUGAGGCCUUUUAAGUUCAGUCUUUUAUGAGUAUCGAUAAUUUUCAAUUCAGUUUUCUUCUCUCAUGGCUCCUCUUAUCUUUGUCAAAACUACUUUUGUAUGGAAGUUUCUCAAUUAGGAUAUUAUUUUUGACCAGUGUGUUGUAUUUUUCUGCUGCCAUGAGUUCUUUGUCCAGAAGCAUAUGCUCUUGGAUGAUCCAAGUUGUGAGGUGUCCUAUGGUGAUGAGGUCUUUUGUGUGGGCACCUAAAGAAGUACUCGGCCAAUCCUAGAUCUUUUUAUAGUGAUGUAAAAUACUUCUUUACUUUUGUUCUUCUAGCUACUUAUUAUCUUUUGUCUUCCAUUUUUUUUAUAUUAUCAUGAUAGUUUGUUUUGGUUGGAUAGAUGUGUAGCCAUAUGGUGGUGGUACUGUUAUGGACAUUCAGAUUUGGAAAUUUCAAAGCUUGGUUAUAAUCAACAUGUGAUCCUCUGUCACCUUUUGGUCUUUGGUGCUUGCACUGCAAUUUGGAUUUCCGGGCUUUGACAUAAGGGGGUUUUUAGUCUUGUCUAUAGCAUAUUUAGUGAUUACAUGGGUGGUUUCGGGGUUUGUCAGAUUUGCACUUAACUGUUUCUUUCUUUCAAUUCUUGUAGCCAUUGAACCAUAGGGCAGUGGAUUAUUCUUUUCAUGAAGCGGCCGUGUUUAUCCGUUUGUGUUGAGGUUUCUUUAGUAGAGUCUUUCAUGAGUAUUGAGAUUUUCGAUUCUGUUUUCUUUCCUUAUAGGUCCCUUUUCUCUGUCAAAACUAUUGUUGUAUGGAUGUUAUUUUGACUAAGAUAAUAUUUUCUUGCAAGUGUGUAUUGUGUUCUGCUGCCAUGAAGCUUUUAAUCCAGACAAUUUGUUCUUCAAUGAUCCAACUGAUGAGUUCUCUCCUCAUUAUGGUUAUAGUCACUUGAUAAGUACUCGAUUUGUGGAUCUAUCUCUUCAUAAAGUGCUUCUCUACUUCUGGUCUUCUAGCUACAUAUGUUCUUUGCUGCCAUUUUUUUUGUUGGAUGGAUGUGCAGACUAUAUGGUGACAAUAUUAGAGGUUAAGAUUGGGAGAUUGAUAAGGUUGAUAUCCAGUAUGGUAUCUCUGUACCCUCUUGGUCUUUUUGGUUCUUGCACUGCAAUUUGGAUAUAUUGUCGGGGCUUAAACGAAGAAGGGUUCUUUAAUCUUGUCUAUGUGGCAUCUCUAAUGAUUUCUUUGGUGUGGGCUUUCAUCAACUUUGAACUUGAUUGUACCCUUUUUUUUGUGCAUGCAGCCAUUGGGUCUUAAAGAGCAGUGAAUUAUUCUUUUCAUGGAAGCCACUUGUCCAUUCAUGUCGAGGUUGCCUUAGUUCAGGCUUUUAUGAGUACUGGGAUUACAACUAAAAUAGUUUUUGUUUUUACUACUGUGUCAUUUUACUGUCAUUUUUGUUUUUUAGUCCAGAUGCUUAGUCUCUUUAAUUAUCCAACUGAUGAGAUUCCAGAUGGUUGAUGGUUAUGGUCUUAUGGACACCUGACAAGUACUCGCUGCUCAUUUUUUCUUCUUCCUUUUUGUUGUAUUAUGCCAGCUUGAUUUUGUUUGUUGGGUGGAUGUAUGGUGAAAGUUGAGGGGAUUAGGCCUGGAGGAUUUUGAAGGUUGGUGUACCGUUUUGCAUCGUGUGCACCCUGUUUCUUGGCCAUGUUAGUGCAUGCACUACAAUCUGGAUACUAUCAGAGGCUUCGAAAGAAGGCGGUUCUCUAUCUUGUCUGGCAUUUCUUGUGAAUUCUAGGUGGUACAGGCUUCACCACCUUUGCACUUAACUGUUCCAUUUUUUCUGUGCUUGCAGCCGUUGGGUCUUACAGAGCCGUAGAUUCUUCUUUUCAUGUAGCGGCCUUGUCUGUCAAUUGUGUUUGAGGUUUUUUGAUUGAUGCUUUAAUGAUUAUUGAGAUCUCCAAUUCAGUUUUCUUCCACUAUCAGAUGGUUCGCUUUUCUCUUUGUCAACACUGCUUCACUAGUGUGUAUUUUGUUACAGUUUUUUAAGUAAUCCAGAUGCUUAUGUUUUUUAAUGAUCCAACUGAUGAGAACUCCAUGGUUAUGGACACUUGAUGAGUAUAUUCAAACUCAGUCUUGGAUCUUUUGAUAGCCCUGUAACGCACUCUACUUUUGUGUUCUAGCUGCUUAACUUCUCUGCUUUCGUUUAGCUUACCAGUUGAUUUAGUUUCGGUUGAAUGAGUGUUUGUAGGCCACAUGGUGGUGAUAUGAUAGUAAGAGGGUAAGAUUUGUGAAUUUUGUGCUUUGGUUUCGAUGUGCAUCCCUGUGGACCCUAUUUCUUUCCAUUCUGGUGCUUGCACUGCAAUCUGGAUGAUUGGGUAUCACCAGGCUUCAAGUAAUGGGCGCUUUGCAAUGUUGCAUUGUUUGGCAUCUCUAGUGAUCUCUCUUCGUGCAUGUUUCUUGUCCAUGUUGUUCUUGCACUACAAUCUGGAUAUUACCAAGAGGCUUUGGAAGAAGGCGGUUCUCAAUCUUGUCUUGGUAUUUCUAGUAAAUUCUACGUAGCGUGCUUCACCAGCUUUGCACUUUAACUGUUCCAUUCUUUCUGUGCUUGCAGUUGCUGGGUCUUACUGAGCCGUAGAUUCUUCUUUUCAUGCAGCGGCCUUGUCUGUCAAUUUAUGUUGAGGUUUUUUGGUUGAUGCUUUUAAUAAUCAUUGAGAUCUUCAAUUCAGUUCGCUUUUGGUGAGCAUCAUUGUGGACCCUGUUUCUUGCCAUUUUGGUGCAAUCUGGAUAAUUGGAUAUCACAUGCUCCAAGAAGAGGGCAGUUUGAAAUGCUACAUUGUUUGGCAUCUCUAGUGAUCACCCCUGCGUUGUAUGGGUUUCCCAUGUUUUGCACUUACCUGUUUCGUUCUUCUUGUGCAUGUAACUGUUGGAUCUUCCUGAGAAUGAACUUCAAUUCAGUUUUCUUCUUAAUCAGUGGGUCCUUUUUCUCUUUUUGGAAACUACUGUUGUGUGGAAGUUCUCAACAUUCAGCACUGAUAAUAUUUUCCACUAGUGUGUGUGUUGUACUCUGAAGUUGUGAAAUUUUUGUUCUAGAUGCUUAUUUUCUUGGAUGAUCGAA